GAGCUGAGUGAGUUUAUCUGCUGGUGUUCAAUACAAGGCUCAGACCAGAGAAGCUUUGCUCCCAGGAGCUUUCCUAACAGGAGUUUGCAAACAGAUAAUGAAGGAGUUUUGCAGGAAUUUAGCCGGAGAUUGGCAGGAAAUUCUGUGGGGAGGAACACAAGUAGUGUGGGGAGGCACACAAUGCAAGAAUGCGGCUGAAGUGGACUCUUUCUUUUGUUUCAAAAAGAAAUCAGCACCUAGGUGGAGGCGUUGUACACCCAAAGGAAUUAGAGGCAAUUGAUUUAAAGGGAAAUGGAAGAUUAAGCUCAAAGUGUGGGAGCACAGACACGGUUUAUUACAGCUAUUGUGGUAGAGAAGAAUCAGGCAAGUUCUUGGUGUAAGCAGGAGUGAUCUAUCCAAACUGCAAUAACAGUGGCUGUGUCUGUAUAUUUCCCUGCAAGGCGAU